GUAGGUGGCAAGCGUUGUCCGGAAUUAUUGGGCGUAAAGCGCGCGCAGGCGGUCCUUUAAGUCUGAUGUGAAAGCCCACGGCUCAACCGUGGAGGGUCAUUGGAAACUGGGGGACUUGAGUACAGAAGAGGAAAGCGGAAUUCCAAGUGUAGCGGUGAAAUGCGUAGAGAUUUGGAGGAACACCAGUGGCGAAGGCGGCUUUCUGGUCUGUAACUGACGCUGAGGCGCAAAAGCGUGGGGAGCAAACAGGAUUAGAUACCCUGGUAGUCCACGCCGUAAACGAUGAGUGCUAAGUGUUAGGGGGUUUCCCGCCCCCUUAGUGCUGCAGCUAACGCAUUAAGCACUCCGCCUGGGGGAGUACGGCCGCAAGGCUG
rnacentral:rRNA from 1 species